UUGAACGCUGGCGGCAGGCCUAACACAUGCCAGUCGAGCGGAUGAAGGGAGCUUGCUCCUGGAUUCAGCGGCGGACGGGUGAGUAAUGCCUAGGAAUCUGCCUGGUAGUGGGGGAUAACGUCCGGAAACGGGCGCUAAUACCGCAUACGUCCUGAGGGAGAAAGUGGGGGAUCUUCGGACCUCACGCUAUCAGAUGAGCCUAGGUCGGAUUAGCUAGUUGGUGGGGUAAAGGCCUACCAAGGCGACGAUCCGUAACUGGUCUGAGAGGAUGAUCAGUCACACUGGAACUGAGACACGGUCCAGACUCCUACGGGAGGCAGCAGUGGGGAAUAUUGGACAAUGGGCGAAAGCCUGGUCCAGCCAUGCCGCGUGUGUGAAGAAGGUCUUCGGAUUGUAAAGCACUUUAAGUUGGGAGGAAGGGCAGUAAGUUAAUACCUUGCUGUUUUGACGUUACCAACAGAAUAAGCACCGGCUAACUUCGUG
rnacentral:rRNA from 1 species